rnacentral:tRNA from 1 species
CCCGAGGUGGCAAUUCAGCCUGAGAGCCCAGACGCGACAUCCAUGGAUUCAAAAUCCACCGGUGGUGACACCUUGAGGGUUCAAGUCCCUCUCUCGGUACCA